CUACGGGUUGCACCAGUGAGGAAUAUUGCACAAUGGGGGGAACCCUGAUGCAGCAACGCCGCGUGGAGGAUGACGCAUUUCGGUGUGUAAACUCCUUUUAUAUGUCAAGAAAAUGACGGUAGCAUAUGAAUAAGCACCGGCUAACUCCGUGCCAGCAGCCGCGGUAAUACGGAGGGUGCAAGCGUUACUCGGAAUCACUGGGCGUAAAGGACGCGUAGGCGGGGUGGAAAGUCAGGUGUGAAAUCCUACAGCUUAACUGUAGAACUGCACUUGAAACUUCUAAUCUAGAGUAUGGGGGGGAGAUGGAAUUAGUGGUGUAGGGGUAAAAUCCGUAGAUAUCACUAGGAAUACCUAAAGCGAAGGCGAUCUCCUGGAACAUUACUGACGCUAAGGCGUGAAAGCGUGGGGAGCAAACAGGAUUAGAUACCCCCGUAGUC
rnacentral:rRNA from 1 species